UAUAAUUUCGUUUGGUGUUGGAGUUAUCUUGGGGACAAGAAAAUGAUGAAGAUUUUGCUACUUUCAUAAAAAUAAGAUUACGAAGCUACGAAUAAUUCUUAAGAGAGUUGCAAGACAGGAAGUAAGUUGGAAGUCGAGAAUUAUCUUCCAGGUGUAUACAGACGAGUAGAGGAUAUGGCUAGAAGAUGUUCCAGCUAGAUUGGCGAGCUCCAUUUCUUUCCGGAGUGUUGCCGAGUCAGAGUAUCCAUGUCAUGGUAUAAUGAUUUAUGUUAGAGA